rnacentral:rRNA from 1 species
UGUGUAGGCGGCUUUUUAAGUUUGGUGUGAAAUCUCCCGGCUCAACUGGGAGGGUGCGCCGAAAACUGAAAGGCUAGAGUGCGGGAGAGGAGAGUGGAAUUCCUGGUGUAGCGGUGAAAUGCGUAGAUAUCAGGAGGAACACCGGUGGUGUAGACGGCUCUCUGGACCGUAACUGACGCUGAGACACGAAAGCGUGGGUAGCAAACAGGAUUAGAUACCCUGGUAGUCCACGCCCUAAACGAUGCAUAUUUGGUGUGGGUCACUCAGUUGAUCCGUGCCGGAGCUAACGCGUUAAAUAUGCCGCCUGGGGAUACAGUCGCAAGGCUAGAA